rnacentral:sRNA from 2 species
CUCGAAUAGCGAUUUCAUAUUGAUUUUUCUCAUUCCUGGUCGUAAACAAACCACGCGCAUAGGUUGGCAAGUCAUCCCGCUUGUAAUCCCAAUCCUGGAACCUCCACGAGUCCACACUGAUAUCUGAUCCCGAAACAGGAAAGGUGCUCUUCUUGCAGGAAAAUGUCUUUUUCCCCAGCUGUUUCUUCUUACCGCUUGCAGCCUCUAAGCUAUGAACAAGCCGAGUAACCUCGUGGACAUCUUGUUGAACCAUGAUUUUGACGUAUGAAAUGAAUAUUUGAACGAGUGAGAUAUCAGGCUGUCCAACAUGCGGGGUAGGGGAACGACGUGUCGAGUUCAAAAGCAAAGUACUAUGCGGGGUCGCUACUCUAGUUGCUGGAGAAGAUCUAUGAAACAAUUUAUUCAAAAUCCACAGGGC